rnacentral:lncRNA from 1 species
UGUGCCGAGGGGCCUGGGCUUCCCUGACCCGGGCCUCUCUCCCCAGGCUUGGGCCCCUGCAGCGAGACCGCGGCUCAGCCCCCUGGCCCUGUGCAGGGGGAGCCGGCCAGGUCCUCCCCGCCCACUGGCCCCGUGGAGGAGGCCAGGGCACCCGGGGAGAAGCCACGGUCCAACUGUGCCCCGAGGGCCGGCCAGCGGAGCCUGCAGGUGCCGGCCACCUCGUCCUCGCAGCAGUCCUCCUCCUCCCCGGGCGCGACCUGCUCGGGCGACGUGCUCCUGCAGGCCUCGAAGUGCGCCCUGGCCAAGGCCUGCCGCCAGCCACCCGUCGUCUUCCUGCCCAAGCUGGUGUACGACAUGCUCACUGCCACCGACAGCAGUGGCCUGCCCAAGGCCACCUCCCUGCUGCCCGCACCCUCCGUCAUGUGGACCAGCUCCUUCCGGCCCCUGCUCAACAAGACCAUGACCUCCACUGAGCAGUCACUGUACUACCGACAGUGGACGGUGCCCCGGCCCAGCCACAUGGACUACGGCAACCGCGCUGAGGGCCGUGUGGACGGCUUUCAUCCCCGCCGGCUGCUGCUCAGUGGGCCCCCGCAGAUCGGAAAGACGGGGGCCUACCUGCAGUUCCUCAGCAACCUGUCCAGGAUGCUCGUGCGGCUGACGGAGGUGGACGUGUACGACGAGGCAGAGAUCAACACUGGCCCCCGGGAAGAAUCCGAGGGGCAUUACGCCCAGCUCAGUGACUCCUGGCCGGACCCAGAGCUGCUCCAGAAGAUGCCCUUUGAUUACCUCAUCCACGACCCCAAGUACGAGGACGCCAGUCUGAUCUGUUCCCACCAGAAGGGCGUCAAGAGGGAAGACAGAGGGACCCGGAGGCCCGAGGACCCCCCUGUGCGUCGGCAGACGGCCCGGAUGCGGCUGUCCAAGUACGCAGCACACAACACCUACCACCACUGCGAGCAGUGCCAGCACUACAUGGGCUCCCACCCCCGCUACCAGCUAUACGAGUCCAGCCUGCACGCCUUCGCCUUCUCCUACUCCAUGCUUGGCGAAGAGGUGCAGCUGCACUUCAUCAUCCCCAAGUCCAAGGAGCACCACUUUGUCUUCAGCCAGCCUGGGGGCCAGCUGGAGAGCAUGCGUCUGCCACUGGUCACCGACACGAGUCAGGAGUACAUAAAAAGUCCGACGUUCACACCGACGACUGGCCGGCAUGAACACGGGCUCUUUAACCUGUACCACGCCAUGGACGGUGCCAGCCACCUGCACGUGCUGGUCGUCAAGGAGUAUGAGAUGGCCAUCUACAAGAAGUAUUGGCCCAAUCAUAUCAUGCUGGUCCUGCCCAGCAUCUUCAACAACGCUGGAGUGGGUGCUGCCCACUUCCUGAUCAAGGAGCUGUCCUACCACAACCUGGAGCUGGAGCGGAGCCGGCAGGAGGAGCUGGGCAUCAAGCCACAGGACAUCUGGCCGUUCAUUGUCAUUUCCGACGACUCCUGCGUGAUGUGGAACGUGGUGGAUGUGGACCGCUCUGGGGAGCGCAGCCGGUGAGAGGCCCAGGCAUGGCGCUGUGUUGAACCACACGGGCCCUCGAAUCCCAGCACCCUGGGAGGCUGAGGCAGGAGGUUUGCAAGUCGGAGCCCAAACUUAGCAGGGACCUGUCUGAGAGUAAAAAAAGAAAGAAAAAAGGGCUGGAGAUGUAUCUCAGUGCUAGGCCCCAGGUUCAGUGGUGAAAAUUGAAAAUAAAUAGCCCAGCUUUUUUUAAUGUUUGAAAAUUGUUACUGAGCCAGGCAUGGUGGCACACGCCUGUAAUCCCAGCACUCAGGAGGGUCACUGCAAGUUCAAGGCCAGCCUGGGCUACACAGUGAGUUCAAGGCUAGGCUGAGCUACAUAGCAAGACCUUGUCUUAAAAAAAUAAAAUUAUUGAAGUAUAAUGUAGAUUUUAAAAAUCACACACUGUAGAUUUAGUGCAGUAUGCAGAGGAUAACUCAUACAUGGAACUUUUCCCAAACCAAGCACAGCCAUUCAACCCUGACCCCCACAUCAAGGGGCCCGCCAGUCCCCAGAGGGUUUUCUUAGGUCACUAAAUUGCCCAGGCUGGGCUUGAAUUUGGGACUCUCCUGCCUCAGCCUCCCAGAGUGCUGGAUUACACGUAUGUACCACCCAAUCUGGCUAGUUUCCUCAUCUUGGGAAGGUUUUAAAACCUAAACUAAGGUUUGGGUUACAGGUAGUUCAAGGCCCCUGGCUGCAUGUAUGAGACCCUGGCUUCAAUCCCCAGCACCACAAAAGGACAAAACAACACAACCUAAGCUACAGUUUGUUGUGAGGAUCAGCUAAACUGUGUAAAUGUUUUUCAAGUUUUUUUCUGUUUUGGUUUUUUGAGACAGGGUCUCACUGUGUAGUUCAGGCUGGCCUUGAACUCAAGGCAGUCCUCCUGCCUCAGCCUCUCGGGUGUCAGGAUUACAGGCGUGCACCACCACGCCAGGCAGGAUGUGAGCAUGUUUUGCCCAAAGAAAUCCUGGCAUUGGUGCGGCCUGCAGCAGGGUGCCCACCUCGGGUCACAGUGCAAAGCGGCACCCCGGGCGGCCGGGAGGGUGGUGCUGCUGUCCGCGGCAGCCCAGGGUCAUGAGUCCCCGUCCCGGGCAGGGAGUUCUCGUGGUCGGAGAGGAACGUGUCGCUGAAGAACAUCCUGCAGCACAUCGAGGCAGCGCCCAACAUCACGCACUACGCCCUCCUGGGCAUGCGCAAGUGGGCCAGCGGGACGCGCGACGUGCGGGAGCCCUUCUCGCGCUGCCAUGUGCACGACUUCAUCAUCCUGAACGUGGACCUCACCCAGAACGUGCAGUACAGCCAGAACCGGUGAGCGCCCCCGCUCCCGAGACUGCACCCCGGCAAGGGGCUUUCUUUUUCUGCGCUGCCCACCUGUGCUUUCUGUCUCCCUCUCUGAAUGCGCUGCCUUUUGGGACCUUUAGCACUGCAGGAAGGAGAAUAAUCCAUCAGCAGGUGUUUACCGAGGGUCUCUACGAGGUGCGAUCCAAAUAUACAGUGAAUGUUUACUGGUGCAGUAAAAGCUACACAGCCACGAAUCCCCUCAAAAUCCUCCCCGGCUUUGCACACACUCAUCCCAUCCUCCUCGGCACUUCCUGCAGCAGCUCUGGAGUCCUCUGUCCUGAGGGUCUUUAGCUGCGUUCUCCUGGCUGCCUUGAUGUCCUGAAUGGAUUCAAAACGUCUCCCUUUCAUGGUCAUUGUGACUUUGGGGAAGAGCAGGAAGUUGCACGGUGCCAGAUCCGGUGACUAAGGUGGACAGGACACAGCGGCGUGUGUUUAGGAGCUGCCUUUCCGAUGGAUGAUGCUCGGCAGCAGCAGUCACCAUAUAUUUCGAUCACUCCUUGUGUAUGCCAGGCAGCGGGCACAGGCCCCGAUGCCACUUAAAUUGUCAGUUUAGGAGCCAGACUGAUUAACCCACUGCAGCCUGGGCUCCACACUUAGUGUCUUGGCAGUGUGGGCCACCCUCUCGCUCAGCCAUUGUUCUCAGCUAUAAAAAGUGGCCCUGGUUUCACCACAGCUCUGCAA